rnacentral:ncRNA from 1 species
GCGGGAUACGUCCCGUUGAAAGGAAUGUAGCUCUCAAAAAAGGGGCCGAACCUUAGG